UGAUCACAUAAAAUGGGAUAGGCAGGGAUACCUCUCUAUGUGACUACUCAGACCUGAGAUUGGAUUGACCAGGAGACAGCCAUGCCAAAAUUUGUCAGAACUUUCCAGGAAAAGAGGACUACAGGUAUAAAGGCCCUAAAAAGAGAACAAAGUUGGCAUAUUGAAGGGGCAGAAAAAAAGACACAUCUGUCUGGGGAAGCGUGAAUAAGAGGAGACCGAGAAGAUGAGGUCAGAGAGGUUGGCUGCAAUCAGGUUAUGAAGAACAUACUGGCAUGAUGGGGUCCUGCUGUGUUGUUCAGGCUGGUAUCCAUUUUCUUGUCAAUGGAAUUCAAAUUGUUUUGGAUUUUUAACUAUUAUGAAUAAAGCUGCAAUGAGCAUCUCACACAAGUCAUUUUGUAGAAAUAUGCUUCCAUUUCUUUUGGAGGAGAGCGUGUUUCGGGGUUUACUAUUUACUCUGAAAACUUGGUUUGAUUACAUCUCUCAAAAGCCCUGCAGGAAGAAUGCACACGUGUUUCUUGGAAUCUCAUGAUCAGAUUUGCAAGGCCUCCUGGAAAAUCAGGUUCAGCCUGAAGAGCACCUCCUCCAAGAAACCCUCUCAGAGGCCUCCACCUUCAUGAAUCAACCUAAACAUUAAUAGCAAAGGUUAAUGCCCUGAAUCCUGAGCCCGCAUUCCCACAUGGUGGCUGUCAGUGAAUAUGAAUAUCAGCUGCCUGCUUGAUAUGGGCCAUGUGAUCCAGACAGGCUUCGGAGAGUCCAUGUACCCAGAUGAAAUGGAAUGUGAAAUAUUGUGUGUAUAUAUGCCUUUCUGCAUUUGGAUGCAGAUAGUUGAUGGUGUUCAUCGGAUCUCCAGAUGGAUUUGUGGACACAGACAACUUUAAGAACCACUAAUUUUUGUCACAGGAUAUGUUGGAACUUACUUUUUCUAUUUUAUUAUAGUUAAUUGUUAUAUUUAUUUAUGUGUCAGGCAAGAUCGUAUUCUUCCCACAGUAACAAACAACUCCAACGUCUCAGGAGCUUAUAACAAUAAAUGUUUAAUUCUCACAUAAAAUUCACUAUGAUUCUAGAUGAUUCUCCUAGUCUGCUGUCUUCUAUGCAAUGAGUCAGCUCAAACUUUUAUUACAACUCAUGUUUCAAUAAUUGCCAAGACAAGGGAAGAGAGGGCUGGCUGAAGAAUCUCACACCAAGCAAUCAAAUUCUUCUUCCUGAAAGCAACAUGUCAUCUUCUCCUGCAUUUCACUGGGCAAAGCAAGUAACAUGUUCUUAUCCAAUCUGGAGCGGGCAAGUAAGUUCAAACCUCCUAUGUGCCCAAAAGAAGAGAACUAAAAACAUCAGUGGACAGCAUUAUUGUCAAACACAAUGUACCUGCUUCCUGGUUCAGCUCAUUCAUCCCUGACAAGAAUAUCGUGUUGACUUAAGUAACUAAGAAAAAUGGUAUUUUGGUAUUUUAAUGAGAAACUCUAAAGCUAAAGACAAAAAGAACUGUAUAUAAUCUUUACCCUCUGGUUGGUAAUUUGUUUCUCUCAGGGGCAUGAGAUUCUGUAGCUAUAUGUACACUAUAAUUGAACAAAUAUUUCAAUAAAUGAUAGAUAAUGAGACCCAGAUUGUUCAAGCUCAGAGAAAGAAAUUGGCAAAUAAGCAAGGAAGUGCUGAAUUAUCAUCAGAGACAUUAAUAUAAACUUAUGUAAAUUUAAUGUAUAUACAGAUAGAUACAGAAAUAACCAUAGAUGUGUGUAUAUAAUGGUUAACAUAUAAACAUAUGGCCAGGCACAGUAACUCAUGUCUGUAAUCCCAGCACUUUGGGAGGCUGAGGUGGGUGGAUCAUCUGAGGUCAGGAGUUUGAGACUAUCCUGGCCAACAUGGUGAAACCCCAUCUCUAUUAAAAAUACAAAAAGUUAGCCAGGUAUGGUGGUGGGUGCCUGUCAUGCCAGCUACUUGGGAGGCUGAGGCAGGAGACUAGCUUGAACCCAGGAGGCAGAGGUUGCAGUGAAAGAUCGUGCCAUUGCACUCCAGCCUGGGCAACAAGAGCAAAACUCUGUCUCAAUAUAUAUAUAUUAUAUAAUAUAUAGUCCACUAUAUAUUUAGUCCAUUAUAUUAUAUAUAGUCCACAGUCCACUGAGAGGGCCUAAAAGCAAUGACAAUGACAUACUAGUUAACAAUGAGCACACCAUGUGUCCAGACCUUGGUUUCUAAAUACCAUUCUUCAUUUGAAAUAAACAGGGUUUCUCAGAAAAAUGGUUAAUUCUAGGGAUGGGGCACGAAAGAAUACAAGAUGAGUUUGAUUAUCUUGUAAUGCCAGAAAAUAAGGAAGUGCUAAAAAAAAACAAAAAACAAACAAACAAAAAAAACAAAAAGAAUGAAGGCAUGUCAAAGAGACAAAAGAGCCAACUUGAAAGAGUUCUCAGUGGCCCAUGCCAAAGCAAUUUAAGCAAUAAAGCAAUGUAGUAGUGGAUUAUAACACAAAGUAUAAAAAUAAAUAUGUAUAAGUCAUACAGAUAUAAAUAAAUGUUUGAAUAAAAUACAUGUGAGGAAGGGAAAAAUCAUUCUUACUGAAGAUUUACAACUUAAAUAUGUAGAUACUCCCCAACCAGGGGGUGGAGCUUGAUUCCCCUACUUUUGAUUGUGGGAUUUAGUGACUGACUUCCAAAGAAUAGACCACGAAAAGGGAAAAACAGUGGUGACAGCUAGCAGACACAGCCUUAAACAAGUGGUCAAUAUUAAUACCAGCAGUGAAAAGCCAUGCUUUUAUACUCCACUAUGUUAUGAUAUGACAUGACAUAAAGUACAAUGUAAGAUAUAAUGUAUAAGAAGAGACUUGGGUUUGAAUCCCAGCUCACCACUUAUUACCUGUAGGACUCUAUAUCUCUCUAGGCCUCAGUUUCCUCAUUGGUACAAUGGGAGAAAUAAUAGAUCCCUUCCUAUAGGCUUAUUGUGGAUAAAUGCAAUAAGUACAGCUCUUAGAACAGCAUCUGGCACAAAGUAAGUGUUCAAUACAUACUAGAUGUUAUUAUACUUCUUUAUCCUUUUCAGUUCCUGGCACAGAGAAGACCCUGUAUACAUUUUUUAGUCGAGAUGGAAUGGUUAUUAUUAUUUUAAACCAAUCAUUUCAGAGGUUAAGAUUUACAUUUGGCAGCUUCCAUUGCAGGAUUUCUGGGGCAUCUCAUCCAUUAUUAGGCAAAUAGAAAUAAUCAUUCUGUGUAUUAGUCCAUUCUCACACUGCUAUAGAGACACUACUGGAGAUUGGGUGAUUUAUAAACGAAAGAAUUUUAACUGACUCACAGUUCCACAAGGCUUGGGAGGCCUCAGGAAACUUACAAUUAUAGCAAAAGGGGGAGAGGAAGAAAGGACCUUCUUCACAUGACAGCAGGAGAGGGAAGAGCAAGCAAGAGUAGGGAAAACUGUCUUAUAAAACCAUCAGAUCUCAUGAGAACUCACCCAUUAUCUGGAGAACAGCAUGGGGGAAACUGUUCCUAUGAUCCAAUCACCUCCCACCUUUGAGACGUGGUGAUUACAAUUCAAAAUGAGAUUUGGGUGGGGGCAAAAAGCCUAACUAUAUCAUUCUAGCAUCUAAAUGUGAAGGUCACCUUUUGGGAUACAAGGAAAGGCAUGAUUACAGUGUGGUUAGAACACUAGCUCUGGAUUUCAGAUCUUAACUUGACCACCAGUAGCAGGGUGAUCCAUUUUUUAACCACUUGAUCUUCCUCACCUGCAAAGUGGGUAUAGUGCCAGUAUAUACCUCAAUGAUAAUUCAAAAGUCUACAUUCAGUAAACUCCCUGGCACAUAGUAAGG
rnacentral:lncRNA from 1 species